GACGCAUGGAAUGGAAAGUAAGCAAUUAAUUAGCUCUGAGUGGAGUUAUCAGAAGAAGUGCAGCAACGUGUUCUAUAAUGGAAAAAUAUUGCUGAAAAUGAAUGGAAAAAUCAAGAAACCUUCUGGGAAGUGUUGCUGGGACUGUGAGGGCCAUCAGGCAGAUACUCAUCCUUAUUGAUGGGAGGGGAAAGCCCUCAGGUGAAACAAAGAAGGCUGGCAGUUUCUCACCAGCUGAGGGGCAGGAGAGUGGACUUAAUGUUGAAAGCAGUUUGAAUGAACCAAGCAGGGCAAAAAAUUUAAAUCUUUGAUGCCAACAAUACAUGAACAGACUACUCCUCACCUAAGAACGUAAGAAGAUAAGAAAAUUCAAAAGAUGGAACAAGAAUACGCCGUUCAAUCCCUCAAGCCAGCUCUGUGGUUCAAGAGGUCAAAAAUUACACGACGCCAGGUCAUAGUCCAACAGGUCUAUUUGAAAACACUAGCUUUCGAAGCGUUGCUCCUGCCUCAGAUGUAGUGAGAAAGGAGGCAUCAAGACACAGAAUAUAUGAGUAAAAGAUCAAAGGAUUAUACAACAGAUGCAAAUGUAUUGAAUAAACCUAAAAUG